GGGAGAACAGGACGGACGCCGCGUCGCCCUUACCAUUGCUAAACUCUUCGAUCAAUAUGGGAGCGAUCAAAUCGAAUGCAUGGUUUUUUGGUGAUCUCGUGUUAGUGUGAGACCUCCGUCAAGCCUAUUUGAAGUCCAAUUAGCUCCGUUUUUCAGACACUCCCGCCAUAUCGACAAAUAACUACGUUAAACUAUAAAAAAACGACGUCCGGCCAAAUGUCUGGCUUUUUACCACGCUAAGUUAGGCUUUUAGGUCCAAAUCUCCGACAUUUUACAGCGCCAAGUCCGGUUUUUCUAAAUGUGAAGAUGGCAACCCUACGUGCGAGCGAGUCGAUCUUGGAAAGCUUUUAUGUUAUUAAACGUAUGUAAUUGCACUCACGCUUCACUAUUUGGAUAAUUUGAACCUGUCAAAAUUCUUUUCUAAAGUACUUAGUUACUCUUGGACGUAUGAAAGUUAUUGCGUAAGUAAAUAAUUCGACAAAAAACUUUAGCAUCGAAUCGAAGAACGUUCAACCAAGUGGUGCAACAGACAGCAUUCUAACUUAUACCUCGUGGUGUCGUGGAGCGGAGGAAAGUCAUUACUUUCCUUGCCCGUGGGCGUAACACGAACCCCGCUGGCGUAAUCUGAGUGCCAAGCACGAAUAACUAUCGCAUUCGUAAUGUAAACGUAUCGAGAUGACGAUACGUCAUGAGACGUUAACGGAGUGUGGCAGCACGAAGCCUAUUCUUUCAACUAUCGAGAGCUCGAAUCCAAUUCGAUAGUGACGUCAUGCUAAUGUAAACUAGAGAAGCAGCCAAGUGAACGAUUUGAAUGACUUGUUGAGCAUAAAGAUUUCGUCUGAAAACUAAAUUAAAUUUAUAUAUAUAUUUCAACCUUUGUCUACACGUUUUAUGAAAUAAUAUUUAUUAAAUAAAUAUUAAUUAUGUGCAAAAAGUUCUUAAAGCGAGUUAAGAGAAAUAUAACGUGACAUUAUCUAUGAAAAAAAAAUAAGUACUUAGUUUCAUAAAUUUAUAUUUUUUUUUAUGAUUUCCGAACGUCGUAUUUGACAUCACCGCCGACGUUUGUCAUUUGCCGGUUGUUUGUUUGUUAUUUUAUCAUAUACAAUGUUGAUUCAACUCCAAUGUGAGCUAAUGGUGGAAUUUAUGCAAAAAUUGGAAUAUUUGUGGGACCAGUCCAAUAUUACUGGGAGCAGUGGGCCUACUGUAUUCCUACCACACCACUCACUGUUCCUCACGAAGUCUACCCUUCGCCAGCGCCUCCACCAACACCACCGAUCCUCCAUCCGAGGAAGAUAGCUGGAAUCCUCCACCAGUGAAAAAACCUAAAGCGAGUUUGAUUAAAAUGUGUAUAGAGAAUGACAAGAAUGCUAUGCUAAGGAGCGUGAGAAAGCGUCUCCCCUAAUAAAAUGGAAUUAAAUUAAUUAAAUAAAUUGUAAAAAUCCACUUUGCUGUGCCCGACAGGGUCCAUAAUUGAUUCUAUGUUUAACAUACCAACUGUUUUUAUGUACACAUUAUGGUAUGCAAUAAAGUAUUGAGUAUUGAGAAAGUUAGUAUUUUUUAUUAGUUGAUUAUUUUUUAUAACUUACUGUUAAUUUUAUAUUUAUUUCAAUUUUUCUGUUUUUAUGUUAUUUUAAAAUAUUAUCAAAAUAUUGUUAAUGGCAUUGUAUUUAUAAUAAUUAUUCUAACUGUGUCAAUACUGUGAAUGUGAUGCAUGUCUAUAAAUUGACAUAAGCACAUGAUCUUGUGUCUUCAUCUUGUUUUUCAUUAAUGUCUUAUAAUAAUAAAUAAAUAAAUAAAAUAUUAUUGGGAUUAAGAUUAGGAUAAAAUAGUAUAAGUUAGUUAUAUAUGUAUAUACAUUUUAUUAACUAUAAAAAGAGGAUUUUGUACAAAAAAGUAAUAAAACACUUGAAAUAAC